ACCAAAGUAUAAAAUUUAAUUUACAGUGACACGUGGGCCCACGAACGACCAAAAGUAUUAAAAGCAGUAAACCUACAGUUUUUGAGAAUGCAAGUCCAACUGUAACCCUCAACAAAGUGAGCUAUCUACCGACUAUCAUGAGCCUUAAAGGGGAGGAAAGGAGGGUGGUGAGAUUAUAUAAUCUCAGUGAGUAAACAAAUACCAUCUAAAAUAUCUAAAUCUGAGUAAAUGGAGACAGAUAAAAAAAUUUAACAUACUGUAAUUCAUCACCUUUCAACUCAUUUCAACCAAAUAAAAUCAAUUCAUAUAAAUUAAGUAAUCAACAUGGCUUAUAAAUUUCUUAAAACUUUGGCUCGUGCCAAAAUGAUUCUCAUACUCAGUUAUUAGGGAUACCUUGGCCGAGGGCUAUCCCAACCGAGACUGCCAAGGCUGUUAAAAAGUUAUGUACGCAUAAAUCAUGUUUUUAUUUUGAAAACAUAGCCGUUCCUUGGCGUUGGCUAAGUUCACCCUCACAUGGUGGUUGGGCGUGAAGUGAACUCUAAAGUGUUAACCUCAGGAGUUAUCCAUUCAUGCCUCUCACUGAGGUAUGAAUAUAAUAGGAUUACCGUGCCCCUCUAAUAGGCCGGUCCACAGAACCCGUCCACUGUAGCGACUAAACCCACCAUACAAUAAAAUUUGCAAUAGUAUGACAUGGCAAUUAUUUUAUUUUACAGCCUCUCAAGGUAAAUUAACAGUUCAUACAUUUUCAACACAUUUACCAAAUCAACCAUUCAUGCCAAUAUUAUCAUAAGCCAUUCAAUUCAAACCAUGAUUUAUAACACAACAAUUAGUCUCCAAUUACUCCAUUUUCCAAAACUAUCAUUCAAUUUCAAGACAAUUUUAUAAAAUCAUUUCAUUUAAUCAUAUUUUGCUUAUAAAACAUAAAAAUUUGCCAUUGAAACUCAUUUUCUAUAAAAUCACAAAAUCGGAUAAAAACCACUUUAGAUAAUUAAGACGAUAGUAAAGUUACUCACUGUAAUGGAAAUCGAGUUUCGAGUACUCUGAUUCUUGAUCCUCGGGUACUAUCUCUUUACGUUUGCCAGAAUGCGCACCACCUAGACAUAAUGUACAAUAAGCCAUUACUACAUUUGUGCUAAAUUGUUAUAAAACCAAUUCAGGCUCUAUACUAAUGCAUGAAAUGGAAUGCAAAUUGUUCGGAUUAUCGUCUAAACAUGGUGUUCUACACAAAUUCAAUUGUGUACCUAAAUAAAAGGGUAUUGGCCUAAUUCGAUCUAUCACCCGAUUAAUUGGCCAAUAUGUCCAAUUUAACUCCAUUUAAUUCCAUUUUUCUCCCAAUACUCCAAAUCAUCAAACACAAAUUAAACAACUUGAAAUAUGGAAAAAUCAUCCUCACAUGUUCUCUUGGAAAAUUUGGCCAUGGUGGGUGCAUCAACACUAUAAUUUUUUCUACUCGAUUCUCACACCUUAAAUCACUAAUUCCUAACCAAAUCACUUGAGAUAAAAUCAAAAUCAUGCUCAAUAUUCCACAUGGAGAAUUCGGCCAAUGAUGGGUGAUGGAAGAACAUGAAUUUUUCUUGCUUGAUUUUCAUGCUACACAUCACCAAUCAACUAAAAACACUAAAAUACAUUGAAAUCUAACCAAAUCAAACAUCAAAACCUCUCUCUAAGUGUUCAAGCAGCAAGAUACCCAUCAUGAAAUCAUGUGAUUCAACCAUAGAAAAUGCAAAAGAAUGCAUGGGAAAGGUAGAUCACAAGUCAAAAUCAAGAAAUUUUACCUUUGAUUGCUUGAUUACUUGAAAUCCACCAAUUUUCUCUUGAAUUUUCACCCUAAGGUUCUUGUUCUUUCUUUUCUUCCUUUGUUCUUGUUUUGGCCGGCCAUAUGAA
rnacentral:lncRNA from 1 species